rnacentral:rRNA from 1 species
CUAAGAAUAUUCCGCAAUGGACGAAAGUCUGACGGAGCGACGCCGCGUGGAUGACGAAGGCCGAAAGGUUGUAAAGUCCUUUUGCUGGGGAAGAAUAACCAUGGGAGGGAAUGCCCGUGGGAUGACAUUAACCGGCGAAUAAGCCCCGGCUAACUACGUGCCAGCAGCCGCGGUAACACGUAGGGGGCGAGCGUUGUUCGGAAUUACUGGGCGUAAAGGGCAUGUAGGCGGCUCUGUAAGCCUGGCGUGAAAGUCACCGGCUCAACCGGUGGAUUGCGCUGGGAACUGCGGGGCUUGAAUCAUGGAGAGGGAGCUAGAAUUCCUGGUGUAGGGGUGAAAUCUGUAGAGAUCAGGAAGAAUACCAGUGGCGAAGGCGAGCUCCUGGCCAAUGAUUGACGCUGAGGUGCGAAAGUGUGGGGAUCAAACAGG